rnacentral:rRNA from 1 species
AGAACGAACGCUGGCGGCAGGCCUCAAACAUGCAAGUCUAGGGGGUGUAGCAAUACAUCACCGGCGGACGGGUGCGUAACACGUGGGAAUAUACCUUUUGGUUCGGAACAACGCAGGGAAACUUGCGCUAAUACCGAAUGUGCCCUUACGGGGAAAGAUUUAUCGCCAAAGGAUUAGCCCGCGUAGGAUUAGCUAGUUGGUGAGGUAAUGGCUCACCAAGGCUCCGAUCCUUAGCUGUUCUGAGAGGAAGAUCAGCCACACUGGGACUGAGACACGGCCCAGACUCCUACGGGAGGCAGCAGUUGGGAAUCUUGCGCAAUGGGCGAAAGCCUGACGCAGCAACGCCGCGUGGGGGAUGAAGGCCUUCGGGUUGUAAACCCCUUUCAGUGGGGACGAAACAGACGGUACCCACAGAAGAAGCACCGGCCAACUACGUGCCAGCAGCCGC